AACUGACCGUCCACCAGUGUCCCCUCCAAUUUCCAAAUUCAACAUCCCCAUCCCCCUCCCAGCCAUUUCCGUCCCACAUUACAGACGCAGAACUCGCAGGCCAAUAGAAGCUCCCAGAGGCCUCAAGGGCCCGCCUUCCACCCAAUCGGCGCUCUCACUCAGUAUUCGCCUGCCCCCUUCAUCCUCGCCCAGGGAUAGGCCGCGCCUCCUGGCUCCUGGCCUCUGAGCCAUUGGCAGGAGGUCGUGGGCGGAGCAUCGUCGUCUGGCACUGGCCAAUCAGAACUUAGGAACCGAACCCGCCAACUGCGGAUCGACUCUGAUGGGUGGGACCAGGACGGCAGCCGGGACAGCCUCGCCCUGACCAGAGCUCCAGACUUCUAGGUUUAACUGCCUUGUGGAUCCCUCUCCCUGAAUGUCACAUGGGAGAGGGGACCGGGGUUGGCUACGCACCUGGAAAUGGAGUUCUCUGAUGCAAUGUCCUUUGGGGUCCGGACUGUGGUGAAGGUGCGUUUGGGCUGCGUCACUGAAGAGGAGGGCAGGGUGUAAAAUGAGGGGGUGACAGACCACGUGUGUCCUCAGUACAUCCAGACUCCUUGUCAUUAAUACCUCCCUAUGUCUCCAGUUCCCACCUGGAUCCCAUAUUCCCAAUAUCCAUCUUGGCCUCUUGUCCAUAAUUUCCACCAUGUCCCCUAGUGACUACCCCUGUCCCCAGCAUCUGCUUAACCUCAUGUCCCCAAAGAGCCUUGUCGAUAACUUCCUCAUACCCUCUAGCACCUAUCCUUUUGGGGACCUUGUCUCAUCAUUUUUCUGGACCCUGUGUCCCCAGUUAAAUACCAGUAUACACUUGAGAAUCCAUGACCCUUCCUUCCAUCCCAAACUUAUACUCCUCCCCACAUAUCAUCCCCCAACUCACUUGUCACUUGAUGUACUUUUUUGGCUCCAACACUGUCCCCAGGGGGAUCACUGGAUCCACCAAUCCUGAGGAGACAUGGGGAGGGGAAAGGUCAGAGCCACAAGAGGCUGGGGUCUGACUUGAGAGCUGGGCCCCAGGAACCUAUGAGGAAAGGGCUGGGGUUGGCAGGUGUCCAUACUGUCCUGCUGGGCUGGGAGGAGGAGGCCAUCUGAGUUGGGGGAUCAGGGCUCCAGCUGGUACCCUGGGUUAGGGCUGGAAGUUUGGGCUCACCUCUGAAUACGGGAUGCUGGUGCAAAGACCCCAUGCUUCGGGGGGCAAGUGAAGUACCGGACGCCAAAGACAGAGCCAUCAUGCUUGCCCGUGGGCUGGUCCAGCUCAAUGCCAUACCAAUAACCUGCAGCAUGAAGGUGUCAGGAUUUCUCAAGGCCCUGCCUGUCCCCCGGCCCAGAGUCCCCAUCCUCACCUGGGGCAAAGUCUGUCUUCCCAUAAAAGCGCACAAUCCCCUGCUUCUGGCCCGCGACCAGGACCUGGUCUCCAACCUCAGCCUUGGCCCCGUCACGCUGCUGCAGGCUGCCCAGAGAUGGGGAUGAUGGAGUCUUCUUCUUGCCUAAGGGUAGAAGGUACAGGAGGUGGGGCGGGGGGUGAUGUCAACUUUGGGGACCCUGUGCCACCAGGAAAACCCCAAGGUAGAAACCCUGUUCUUGGUUUGAAGUGAAACUGUGUUAGAUAUAGUAAACCCCAUGUUUCUCUUCAAGGAAUCAGUAUGUCAGUAUCUUCAGCUCUCUUAUUAUUCUUUAAUUCUCUAUUUUAAAGUUAACUUCCUUGUAGUUCCAGUAAACAACCUUCUCCACCAGUUCUAAUCAGCAGUUCACAUCUGUUCCCCCAGCCCCCGGCUCUGUCCUGACUCAUCCUGGUCACCUGCUUCAGUCACCGGCUCUAGUCACCUUCUUUGACCUAGGUCACCCUGGCUACCUGCUCUGACCCACCCGUAACCAUCCUACCUGCCAAACCACCCACGCUCCCACUCCAGCUUGGACCCCUGCUCUCUUUAAAAUAGCCAGUGGGGAUUAGUCUAGCUUGUGCAGGCUAACCCUGGCCAACAGGGGAACAACACAGCAGUAGGGGCAACCCCCAUCAGGCAUAAGAACCCCUUCCCCUCCUUGUCCAGGUGUGUGCUCGCCAUUGUUCUGUCUGUGAGCCGCACCCUUCUAUAGAAGUAAAUUGCCUUGCUGAGGAACUUUAUAUUCGAGUGCCACUUCUUUUGCAGCAUCAAAAAUUCUACUUACAACAACUGAAUCCCAGAUGCCGGAGAAUUAGGAAGGGGCUUUAGGCCUGAAGGGAAACCAAGUCAGAGAACCUGAAGAACCCCAAAAUCCUUUCUCAAAGCUAAGGAUAUGUGGGCCAAGGAAAAGCUGAGUCAGAAGUCAGGAGCCCAGAAACUGUCCUUUUAAAAUGAAGGGAGAAUUGGAUCUGAGAGUAAAUCAGGCCAGGCGCAGUGGCACAGGCCUGUAAUCCCAGCACUUUGAGAGGCCAAGGAGGGCAGAUCACUUGAGGUCAGGAGUUUGAGACCAGCCUGGCCAACAUGGUGAAACCCCGUCUUUACAAAAAAAAAAAAAACAAACAAACGUUAGCCAGACGUGGUGAUGGGUGCCUGUAAUCCCAGCACUUUGAGAGUCCAAAGUGGGCAGAUCAGGAGUUUGAGACCAGCCUGGCCAACAUGGUGAAACCGUCUCUACAAAAAAAACAACACAAACAUUAGCCGGACAUAGAGGUAGGCACCUGUAAUCCCAGCUACUCAGGAGGCUAAGAAACUAGAAUUGCUUGAACCCAGGGGGCAGAGGUUGCAGUAAGCCAAGAUCACGCCACUGCACUCCAGUCUGGGCAACAGAGCAAGACUCUGUCUCAAAAAUUAAAAUAAAAUCAUAAAAGCCAGGAUCUCCACAGAUUCUUCCCUAAAACUAGGGGAGACCUUUGGGCCUGAGAGGAAACUAGGGCAGGGAACCCACAGGCUCUUCUAAGAACUGGGUAUGGCCAGUACCGAGCCAAAGGGAAAACUGAGUCAUAGGAGUCAGGAACUCAGAGCUAUUCUUCCAAAACUGGAGUUUGCGCCUGAGGAGAAGCUGAGUCACAGAAGCAGAGCUACCCACAGAACAUCUCCAAACUGGCUCUUCCCACCACAGGGAUCCCCUCUCUGACCUUUGUGUUCCCUGCGGCCUUUGCCAGUGACACGGGAGAAGUCCAUCCGGGGGGUCCGGGGUGUGGAGGUGACAGAGGAGGGGGGCGCAUCCACUGCCUUGGAGAUCUUGGAUACAGAUGCAAAGAGACCUAGAAGUACAGAGCCCAAGCUUGGUAUCAUCCUAGCCUCUGCCCUCGGCCCCCAUCCCCCAUCGUCAGCAGCAUCAGAACUACUGAGUGGACCCCUGGCCACACCCCUCUUGGGCCCCAGGUGGGACUGACCCUGCUUGGGGGGGCAGAUGAAAUACCGAACGCCCCCAACACUGCCAUCGUUCUUGCCCUCAGGCUCGUCCAGCUCCACGCCCACCCACUGGCCGCUGGCAAACUCCGUGGUCCCGCAAAACCGCAGCGUGCCCGUCUGGGGAGAGAAGGGAAGCAAUGGCUGGGGAAGGAAGGCUGAGAGACCACCGUGGAGUGCCUGCACUCAGGCAGCAAGCUUGCUCCUCCACAUCUGCAAUUUGGGUGCAUUCCCCAUCACACCCCAAUCACUCUGACCUGGACUUGCCUACCCAGACUUGCCUCUGAGAGCAGAGGGGCCUGAUCAAGGACCUCAAAAACUCAGGAGGAGCCACAGGUGCACAGAGUUUCACAGAUCACUCUGCUCACCCCUCCCCACAGCAGCCUUGACCGCUCUCAGCUGUCACUGUCAGGAUGAUGGGUUAUCUCCUCCCCACCCCAGGCAGAGAGCUCAGCACAUGGUGAGUUUCAAAGGAGACACUCAGGAACAACUGAGAUGAAAUCAAGUACUGGGUGGAUGGUUAGGAUGGCAGGCAGACAAACGGGAGACACUGUACUUGGCCUGAGGACCCACCUCCGAGGGAUGAAGGGGCUGAGUCCUGCCCCCCACCCACCAUACACACCCACACAACCCCAGCCCCUGACC